GUAUAUAGGCUACACAGGACAUUAGACAUUUCAUCGUUUUUAAAUCUAGUUUUAUGUGUGCCAGAAAGUGCCUAUUUAUUUUGUAAAACAUUUUGUCUUCAUACUUAAAGUUAGAAGGCCUAUCUUGACACUUUUGGUCCUGUUAGGUAAAGACGCAUUGAGUAACAGAGAUGGCAGCACAUCUGGAAUCAAUACAGCCGAACUGGAUUCUGCCCCAGCUCUGGAGUCAGAGAGGUCGAGUUCUAGCUGACCAGGUCACAUCACUCAGAGUGCGCCGGCACGGAUGGUUGCUAUGGUGAGGGCUAUGGUGGAAGAGAUAUGGGGAUUGAAGGAGAAUUUUUUCUUGCUCAAGUAACAAAAAAAUACACUUGUGUUUUUUUUAUUUUUGCAUUUACACUUUCUUAUACUCAAUUAGAAUUAAGCCAAUAUAUAAAUAAGAACUUCUUGAAUUGUCCUGCUGUACACUGGUAAAGCUAGAAAAAAAAGAAAGAAGGGAAUUGUUUUGCUAAUUAACAUUGUGUAAACAAAUUUCUGUGUAAUUAUAACUCAUGAAACUGAUAUUAACCCUGUAAGCCAUGGUAUUUUUGCGUCCCUGAAGGUGUUGACAUACACAAAAAUGACACAUAACUCCAAAACUGUAGCAAGGAGGUUCAAAAGGUACUGUAGGUAUUUUUUUAUAGAAAUCUUUAUAUAAACAUUUAUCUUUACAUUUGAUAAUCCUCCUGUUGAGAAAUAGUUGAUAAAAGUGUAAGAAAAAUGUAUGUGCUCAAGGGAAAUAUAUAAUAUCUUUCAAAUUUGACAUUCAAUGUCUAAGGAAAGAAAUAAGAAUGAUUAUUUUAGUGAUGUUCCCCAACACAUGAGCUGUAUGUGAAUUAAAUAUUUUGGUGAUGACAUGAAGUAAUCAAAAGUUACAGCAUUUGGAACCAAGGUUGCCUUUUUCUUAACCCUUGACAGUUUUAGUCAAAGACCCAAACAAUUACCGGUAUGCUUGUUUUAUUUUACCCUGUAAGAGCUUUCAAAUGACUUAUUACACAUGUCUAUCUGAGCUGUAUGAUGAUUUUUUAAUUGUGAAAAAGAAUAAUAAUAAUUAGAUUUAAUUAGGAGUUUUACUAAUAAUAUCCUUUUUUUGUUGUUGUUGUUGUUGAUCAGGGCGGUAGUUCGAAAUAAAAUUAGAAUGUUUUUCACAAAGGCCCUCCUGCCCGCAGUACACUCCGUAGAACUCAAUGAUUAGAUCGUAGCAAAAGAUGAUCAAAAUACAUUCAUUCAUUUAGAAUGAUACCUAUUUUGUGUUUUUCCAUUUAGUGGUUGCUCAGUAAUUUGAUUAUGAUGGUCUAUCUACUAAGACUGGAGGGCAAGGACUGUACAUAACCCUUAUUUAUCUUAAUCAGAAACUUAAUCAUCAGCAUUCAUCAGCACUUUACAUUAAAUAUGAGAUUAAUCUCCGAGUCCAUACUAUAAAAAUAUAUUUGACCUAAAGAGGGUUAUGUUGGGGGUCAAUGUUUUGAUGUAUAUCCUAUAGUUUAAGAAAAUGGUUGCAAUCACACAUAAGUAAUUAAGUCAGUUCUCAUCAGGCAGUGUUGAAAAGUUAAAUACUAAUUGAAAUUAAGUGACAUCGAGCCAAGUAUGGUGACCCAUACUCAGAAUUCGUGCUCUGCAUUUAACCUGUCCAAAGUGCACACACACAGCAGUGGACACACACAUGGAGCAGUGGGCAGCCAUUUGUUGUGGUAUUGCCGGCACGAGACUCAAACCAUAACCUUAGGGUUAGGAGUCAAACUCUCUAACCAUUAGGCCACAACUUCCCCAAAAGUCUAUGUAAGCAGCAUAGUACUAAACUAUGAAAAAACAUCAUUCUGUUGAACUAGCCAGCAUCUCAUAUGCAGAAGCUAAGCAAAUAUUCACUUACACUAAAAUCAUUUUAUUUGCUAUUUGGUUUAUUCAUACACUCUCAGAAAAGAAAAAGGUACAAAAAUUGUCACUGGGGCGGUACCUUUUCAAAAGAUACACCUUUGUACCUAAAAGGUCUGGUACCUGAAAGGUACAAAAGUGUAACUUUGAAAAGGUACAAUCCCAGUGACAGUUUUUGGACCUGUUUUUCCUGAGUGUGUAGAAUAGUCACAUGACCUCAAUAUCCCACAAAUCUUAGCUUUGUUACAUAAUUUCAUAAUCUCACCCAUAUAUAAAUCUUUUUAUAUAAGGCAGUUCACCUUUAUAAUCUGCACUUCACAUGUACGGGUAAAUGAGCCAUUAAAGAUUUUUGACAUAUUCUCUUUAAUAUUGUGUAAUACUUUUUUUUUUAAAUACAGUCUUUUCUGAGGUAGACCAUUACAGUUCAAGAACAUUAUCAUUUUUAUAACAGACAUCAAAAAAAGACAUGAAAUGAAUAUUUUCAUGUACAAUAUGCUGCAAAAAUGAGGUAGAAAUGGUUACAGAAAAUGUACAAGAACAAGAUCCAAGAACAAAUUUACUGUACUAAUAGAUCAAAACAGCUAAUUAAUGACAAUUUUGUUGGACAAACUGUAUCUUUGUGUUCCUGUUUUGAAAUCAGCCAAGUCUCUGUAUUUGCCUAUGAUUUCUGAAUAAAAAUGGUUUGAAUUUA